rnacentral:rRNA from 1 species
GAUGAACGCUGGCGGCGUGCCUAAUACAUGCAAGUCGAGCGAACGGACGAGAAGCUUGCUUCUCUGAUGUUAGCGGCGGACGGGUGAGUAACACGUGGAUAACCUACCUAUAAGACUGGGAUAACUUCGGGAAACCGUAGCUAAUACCGGAUAAUAUUUUGAACCGCAUGGUUCAAAAGUGAAAGACGGUCUUGCUGUCACUUAUAGAUGGAUCCGCGCUGCAUUAGCUGGUUGGUAAGGUAACGGCUUACCAAGGCAACGAUGCAUAGCCGACCUGAGAGGGUGAUCGGCCACACUGGAACUGAGACACGGUCCAGACUCCUACGGGAGGCAGCAGUAGGGAAUCUUCCGCAAAGGGCGAAAGCCUGACGGAGCAACGCCGCGUGAGUGAUGAAGGUCUUCGGAUCGUAAAACUCUGUUAUUAGGGAAGAACAUAUGUGUAAGUAACUGUGCACAUCUUGACGGUACCUAAUCAGAAAGCCACGGCUAACUACGUG